CCCUUAGAUGCUCUGGGCCGCACGCGCGCUACACUGACCAGUGCAACAAGCAUCCGUCCUUGGCCGACAGGCCCGGGCAAUCUUUGAACGCUGGUCGUGAUGGGGAUAGACUUUUGCAAUUUUUGGUCUUCAACGAGGAAUUCCUAGUAAACGCAAGUCAUCAACUUGCAUUGAUUACGUCCCUGCCCUUUGUACACACCGCCCGUCGCACCUACCGAUUGAAUGGUCCGGUGAAGCCUCCGGAUUGGCGCGCACCUCGGUGCCGCCGAGAAGUUGGCUAAACCUUACCAUUUAGAGGAAGGUGAAGUCGUANCA
rnacentral:rRNA from 1 species